UUUGGCAAGGAUCGUAGCCUAAAAAUAGUAGUCUUCAAAGUAGUAGCAUUUUAGUUGGGUAGAAGGCUACUUGGGGAGCCUUUGUCACUGCAGCAAAAGGGAAAUUGGUGUAAGGGUGGUAUUGUAAAUUGAAGGGAGAAAGGUGGUUAAAUUUUCCCUGCUACUUGUCUGGACCAUUUAAGAUUUGUGUUACCUUACCAUAACAAAUCAAGUGAAAGAUACAUUCUUUCAAAUUUGAGGAACUCUUCAGAUAUCCAUCCACAGACAGAAUGUGGAUUUUGAAAAUAUAUGUGAUAUUAUCUAUCUACCUAAAUAUAGAUACUUACAUGAAAGAAUCAACUGUUUUUCUUAGUCUUUUAUUAUUAGCGUUAUUGAAGUUGGUACAUAAAAGCAGAACUAAAUUAAAACCCACUGUAAGUACUAUGUACAAUAUAUGUUGUGUUAAAUUGAUUGUUUCCAAAUUCUGUAGCAGCAGAGAUCUGUUUAUCAAAAUGUCUUGUAUUGAGAAAUACUUAAAGCCUAUAUUUAGGGGAAAUAAAUCCGUAACUAACUGUGUAGAAUAAGUUGUGAUCCUGUCAACUUUUUAUAGAAGAGCUAAUCGGUUGAUGACUUUUAAACAGCUCAAAUAACUUUAUUUUAGAAUUUAAAUAAAUGUACCAAAUUCCUUCCCUAUUCUCCUGCAUAGUUCUGAAAAAGUGUUGUUUUCAGAUCAACAAACAAUUUUUAAUGGCCAAAGCUUGGAUUUUUAGAUUCAAACUGGUGUUUUUUUCUUUAAUAUUAUUGCAUAAUUUACAUGGAAUUUUUAAGUUAAAAAAAGUAAUAUCUUCAAUUUUGACAUCUUAUAAAGCAGAUUUUUAUCUCAGAAGCUAUUACGCCUUUCAAGAAAGUCAUUUGUCAUGAAAAUUUCAGCUUUUUUUUCUUUUAUGCUGAGAAAUAGGCUAACAUGGGUUAUAGUGAAUUUUAUAAGAACAGUUGUAUGGUUACGAAAUGUGUGAGAAUGGAGAUCUUUUGGCUGAAAUACUCCGAGUGAUUAUUUUUUCCUGUAGAAACUUAAAGGCUCAAGUGUAAACUUACUAGGAAAAAUACUUUGGCUUUAGUUUAUUGGGAUUUGUUAAUAAUAUAUUGAUUACUCACAUUUUUCACUUAGCAUUAUUUCAAAAUUUAAAGCCAUGUAGGUGGGUUAUUGUUUGGUGCUUACUAUUUUUGGUUAUAUCUGUCAUUACUGUUUACAUCAGUUUGAAAAAAGGUUUUCAGAAAUGGCAUUCACUUUGUUACCCACUAGCUUUGAGGGGUCUCUUGAUGCCUACUUCAUGAACUGUAGUAGAUGGCUGGUACCAUUUUGACUCACUGAAGGUGAACGUAUUGCUUUGAUUUAAUUGUGAAAUGUGUGAAUAAAUGAGAUUUCCACUGUCUCUACUUAACUACAUAAAACUAGAGACUUUGCAGAAUCAACAAGAUUGCUGUUCAGCAUAACUUUGGUUUGGUAAGGGUGAAGCACACAUAGGUGAUGUAGAAUGAAUGGAAUGCCUCCGUACUUCCCUACUAUGUGGAAGAUGGUAAUUAAUCAUGGUGGUCAGUUCCAUAGGCCUCCAAGCCACUGGUGACACCCUACCAUUGUUGCUGUUAAUUUUUAGAAGUCUGUUUAUGCAAGACUCCUGAUUAUCAUGUAUAAAUAGCAACCUCCCCCAAGCACCUGCCCCAUUCUUCUUAAGGCCUAACAAAUCCUUAGCACUUCUCACCAUCUGACAUGUUUUUGUUCAUUUGUUGAUUGAUUGUCUCUCCCACUAGUAUAUAAGCUUCAUGAUGGCAGGAACUUUGUCCACUAUUGUAUAUUUCUAACUCGUCAGACUAUUUGGCAUAUUAUAGUAUGCAGUGAGUAUUGUAGAAGAAAUGGGAUUUCUGUUUGUUUGUACUGAAGUUUGCAAAGUUGUGGGAAGAUGGAAUAUAAAGAUUCUAUUGUUCUAAUUGCAUUUGGGACAUGAAAUUUGUGCUUUCUGGGUGAGUAGACUUUGGCACAGAGGCUAACUGCAAUUUGUUAUUCCCUCUGUCUAGGCAGAUUUAAACUCUUAAGAGAAGCCAUUAAAAUUCUUUUGGAUUCCUACUUUUUAGACGUGGGGUUGGCUGUUACUGAAUAACAUUAACCUAGCUAUGGGGAGGACUUUUUGUCUCUUAUUCUCUCUUCUUCCCUCUGGAUCUUAGAGUGGAGAAAUGGACUUUUGUUUCACCUAUAACUCUACAAGUAUUUAUACCAUCAUAUCAACACAUGUACAAGGAAUCAUGCCACACGUUGUGGAAGAUAAAAGGAAACAAAAGAUUCCUGAAUUUAUUUUAAAAAAGCAAAGAAUGAAUCUUGAUCACUUAAAACAAAAAUGGUGGGACAGUCAGGUUACAGUUAAGAUUAUGUUCCUGUUUUUUAAGCAGAAGAUAUUUUUGGACAUAGAGGUGAAAAUUUCUAGUAUUUCCAAUUCCCCAGAGAAGAAACUUGAGAAUCAUUUGCCUAGAGGUUUUUGUUGGGGAUGAGAGGACAAAAUAGAAUGGUAUAGCCCUCAGAGAAAGAAAAAUGCAAAAUAUACUAGGAGUAGAUGGUGAUUGUCUAUUAAUUCCGUAGCUACAUGUAGACUUUUAUUAGGUCACUUAUAACUAGAGUUUAUAUUCCAUAUAAACUAUGGUUUAUAUUCCAAACUGGGUCACUUUCAAGAGUGAAAGUAUAUGCUAUCUGAAGUAUAUGCUAUCUGAAUGGAACACUGGGACAACAGGUGUAAACCAGGACUGUUCCAGGAAAAUCAGGGCACUGAUCGCCCCUUACUAAUAACAUACUUUCCUACAGACUUAGUCCCAGUUCUUUGAACCUCUCCACAUAAUUUUUUUCUCCUUUAGAGAACUCUGAUCUGCACUCAUAGAAUCUCAAGCUUUGGUUCCUUUUUCCUGGUCUCAGUGGAAUGAAAAGAAUUCGUUCCAUAUUUUCUGGAGCCCUGGACUGUUCUGGUUUACAGCAUUGGUGGAGGUGGGAUUGUAAUUCUGAAACUUCAGAUCUUCAAAGAAGGGAAGGAGAAUGCCUUGUGCUUGUACCAUAGACAUGUGAUUUUUUUUUUAAGUUGGAACACUGUAAUGUUUUUAUUUUGUUUAAAUAAAUUUAAAUAAAUUUUUUUAUUCUUA